GGCGAUGUGGCAUAGCGGGCUAAUGCCCUGGCCUGCAGUGCCGGCAUCCCAUAUGGGUACAGGUUUGAGUCCUGGCUGCUCCA
rnacentral:tRNA from 1 species